rnacentral:rRNA from 1 species
UACGUAGGGACCAAGCGUUGUUCGGAUUUACUGGGCGUAAAGAGCGCGUAGGCGGCCCGGAAAGUGGGGUGUGAAAACCCGAGGCUCAACCUCGGGCGUGCAUUCCAAACUCCCGGGCUCGAGGCAGGUAGGGGAGAUCGGAAUUCCUGGUGUAGCGGUGAAAUGCGCAGAUAUCAGGAGGAACACUGGUGGCGAAGGCGGAUCUCUGGGCCUGAUCUGACGCUGAGGCGCGAAAGCUAGGGGAGCAAACAGG